GCUGGGCAUGGUGGCUCAUGCCUGUAAUCCCAGCAUUCUGGGAGGCCGAGGCUGGUGAAUCACCUGAGGUCAGGAGUUUGUGACCAGCCUGGCCAACAUGGUGAAACCCCGUCUCUA
rfam:Gorilla gorilla gorilla genomic chromosome, chr8, whole genome shotgun sequence